CUAAUACUGCAGUCACACCAUGUCUGAAUACAUACUGAAAAUUACAUAAUGACAAUUUGACAAAUUCAAAUUCUUCCAGAAAGGUUUAUAUAAAAAAUGAAGCCUAUAAUAAGUAGGUAUCUAACUAAGAUUCAGCCAGGCUUUCUAGUGUUUGUGUAAGUAUCGUCACUGACUGAGUGUCAUAAUUUGUCUGAGGAAAAGUGUUGUCAGCGCUGUGUUGAAGGUCUUCUUCUGUAAUCUGACUCCAAUGGUUUCCUCAGCAACAGACGUGGCUUUGUUGUAAUCCUGCAUCUUUCAUGAAGAUAGACUCAGUGAACAGGUGAGACACUUUCUCUUUUCAUGUUGAAGGUACAGUAGCACUGUCUGUUAUGUUUGAAUUUGAUUAUGAAGUACGACAAGAAAUCAAUUCAUUGUUGACUGUGUGUGUAGUGUAUAUAGAGUAAAUUUUUAUUCAUUUAUUUUUUUCUAUUUCAAGGCAUUUGGGACAUUGAAAUCGAGCUUACACAAAGUGCCUUGUCUUUUAUAGGAUGGAAGAGUGUUUGCAUUUGGUCUGUGAGUCGAUGGGUGUACAUGAGGAGGAUGAGGUCAGCGUGGACGAGAUCUGUUCCCUCUAUAAGAGCGUCUUCCUCAUCACCGCCAGCCUGGAUGAGACAAAGAGAGCCAUUUCACAGGUCAGAGGUCAGAGUGGAGGCUUGUCAUGUCCAGCCAGAGGAGUUCUGCAUGUUCAAAAGAAAAAUAGUUUUAGUUGUGAUAUGUUCAGGUCAGAGGGUCAGAGUGGAGGCUUGUCAUGUCCAGCCAGAGGAGUUCUGCAUGUUCUCCUAAUGAUGGAGAAACUAGCGUUACAACAUAGAAGAGCUGUACUGGGAUCUCCAGAUGUUGACGGCUGGUAGAGUCAAUCAUAAACAAAACACACAAUCAUCAACAAUCAACUUCAGCUCCAGACAACAGAAGCAGGAUCCAGAGCAGUUUAGUAUCUUGUGUCUUCAGAACAGAGCCAAGAGACUUUGCACGAGACUCAUUCUUGACGGCGUGUGGAGUGUCCUACCGUCUCUUUCUCAGAGGAUAGCCGGCGUCAUGCGACCGGGCAGGAUCUGUGCCAGCACUAGCGACAUCCUCCAGCUCCUGUAUUACAAAUAUGAGGUCAUCAGAGAGCGACUGUACAAAGAGAUGUUACAGGAUGAAUAUGGUGUUAUUUGGUGGAACUCGAUGUCAGCGUGGGAUCAGACAGAAUGUGUGUGUGAAUUAGGAGUGUGUGUAGAGCUGGCUUUCAGACACAGAGACUGGCUUCAGGUGUGUGGGCUUCCCGGGGCCUUCUGUUGCUACAGGAGCUGUGGUUCUGUGGUCUUGCGAGGCUGUCCUGAGAGUGUUAAAUCUAGAGAUCAGGCUUGGUCAUCUAAACCGAGGGAACAGGCCUGGUCCGCUGUCAUCUUCCUGUCGGAGCUGGAGUCACAUUAUCAAGAUGAGAAGGAAUCGAUCAGCACGCUCAUGAACAGGCCUUAUAUGAGAUGUUCAGUCAGUCAGGAUCUCACCAGGAUCUGGAUUCAGGAAAAUGUGGAUCUCACUGCUAAAAAACAGCAGGGCUGGAAAACAGGAAAUUGUGCACAACAGGCUGUGCUGCAGUUUUUGGUUCUGUGUCAGGAGCAGGAAAGGAAACGAUUGGUGGAGAUCGUUCACAGGCUUUCCCUGAGUGACCUCGAGGCAAACAUUCAGAAAAACAAUGUGGUUCAUGGAAACGCGGUGGAUGAGAGCUGUGUGUGGAGCCUGCAGCAGAUCAAAGCCUCUCUACAGGAAGCACAUGGUUCUUCUACUAGACCAUUCGCUCCAGGGUGUUCUGGGAUAGAUGUCUCAUGGGGCGAAUGUGCCACUCAUUUGCUGACCCAGCUGACGCAAGCACAUGAUGAUGAGGCCUGGACCAUUUUAAACUCUCUGCCAGAUUUGGACCCUGAGGGUCUUUGGACUUUGCUUCGCAAAUAUGAGAGCGAACUUCACAGACCCAGUUUCCACAACCUGCAUGAAGUUUUGCAGUCACGUGGACCAGCGCACGCCAGCAGAGGCACCGCCGCAGUGAACGCUCACACUGAGAGAGAGAGGACUGAACAGGAACGGGAAGAGCUGUCAGAUGGUGAAAAAGAAGAACUCUGCACUGGCUGUGGCGUGGCUUUAGAUCCAGAAGAUACUCCAUAUUUAGAGAUCCUGUGUGUCAGAGACCCAAGAGAUGAAGAGAGCAUGAUGGAGACGAAGGACAGAGACAGAGAGAGAAGAGAGGGAGACAUUAAGAGCAAAGGAGACCCUCAGGAGAUCUCAGUGGAAAAACAAAACUCUCUGAUCACACUGGCCUGGAGCAACCCAGCCCACGCAGAGAAUUACAUUCAGGAAGUGACCUCGGCUCAGAAAGGAGAGGCCGUCUCGAUUGUAAUGCAGGAGGAUUCAGCUGAUAACACGCACGUUCCUGUCAGAACUGUGAACAACUGUGACAGGAAUGUGAACAUUUACACACAGCAGGAGAACAUAAGCUCCGUCUCACUGCAGCCAAGUGAACAAUAUGAAGAAAUGCAUUCAGAUCACACAGAUAAUGUGAAAGCAAAGACACAGAUCCAAGAAGACCAUUCAGGCUUCAUCACAGCUGGGCAGGACAUAAGAGAUGGAGAGUUUGCAUUCAGUGUCACCCAACAGCCCGACCAAACUCCACCCACUGCUCCAAGGCUGCUACAAACACUGACACAACAGAUACUAACACAGCACCAGCAAGUGUUCAUUUCCCAGACACGCAACCCUCUCAAACACUUGAGACCCAUGAGACAGAGGCAUCGCUUCAGGAGCUGA
rnacentral:lncRNA from 1 species